rnacentral:rRNA from 1 species
GAACGCUAGCGGCAGGCUUAACACAUGCAAGUCGAGGGGUAUAGGGAGCUUGCUUCCUAGAGACCGGCGCACGGGUGCGUAACGCGUAUGCAAUCUACCUUUUGCAGAGGGAUAGCCCAGAGAAAUUUGGAUUAAUACCUCAUAGUAUGUGAGAAUGGCAUCAUUUUCACAUUAAAGUCACAACGGUGAAAGAUGAGCAUGCGUCCCAUUAGCUAGUUGGUAAGGUAACGGCUUACCAAGGCAACGAUGGGUAGGGGUCCUGAGAGGGAGAUCCCCCACACUGGUACUGAGACACGGACCAGACUCCUACGGGAGGCAGCAGUGAGGAAUAUUGGACAAUGGGCGCAAGCCUGAUCCAGCCAUGCCGCGUGCAGGAUGACGGUCCUAUGGAUUGUAAACUGCUUUUAUACAGGAAGAAACACUACUUCGUGAAGUAGCUUGACGGUACUGUAAGAAUAAGGAUCGGCUAACUCCGUG